UAAUACCGAAUAUGCUCUACGGAGUAAAGGNGCCCUCUCCUUGGAAGGUAUCGCUAAAGGAUGAGCCCGCGUUAGAUUAGCUAGUUGGUAGGGUAAAGGCCUACCAAGGCGACGAUCUAUAGCUGGUUUGAGAGGAUGAUCAGCCACACUGGGACUGAGACACGGCUCAGACUCCUACGGGAGGCAGCAGUGGGGAAUAUUGCACAAUGAGGGAAACCUUGAUGCAGCCAUGCCGCGUGUGUGAAGAAGGCCCGAGGGUUGUAAAGCACUUUCAACUGUGAGGAAGAUUAAGUAGCUAAUACCUGCUUAGUUUGACGUUAACU
rnacentral:rRNA from 1 species